rnacentral:rRNA from 1 species
UCUUAAAGAUUAAGCCAUGCAUGUGUCAGUGCAAGCCUUUCCUUACGGUGAAACCGCGAAUGGCUCAUUAAAUCAGUCUUUAUCCGUUGGACUUAACGGGAACGUGUCCUUAAUCGGAUAACUGUGGUAAUUCUAGAGCUAAUACAUGCCUCGAGUUCCAAAAGUGUUUUUUUGAACACGAGUAGGACGCAAUUAUUAGAUCCAAAAAUUUUAUGUAAAUUGGGCUUGGUGUAAAUUUUGGUGAAUCUGGAUAAUUACUGCAGAGCGCUUCAAUUGUGCCGGCGCUUGACCUAUGAAGAGUCUGCCCUAUCAGCUUGAUUGUAGAUUAAAUGUCUACAAUGGCUACAACGGGUAACGGGGAAUCAGGGUUCGAUUCCGGAGAGGGAGCAUGAGAAAUGGCUACCACAUCUAAGGAAGGCAGCAGGCACGAAAAUUGCUCAAUCUUAGCUCGAGGAAGCAGUGACAAAAUAUCUUGAUGCGGGACUCUUCCGAGGCCUCGCAAUCAGGAUGCGUUUACUAUAAAUAAGUUGACUGAACGCAAAUGGAGGGCAAGUCUGGUGCCAGCAGCCGCGGUAAUUCCAGCUCCAUUAGCAUAUGUUUUAAUUGCUGAGGUUAAAAAGCUCGUAGUUGGACUUAUUACUCAGGGCAGGAGACGUGUCGGAGUUGACAUAACCUCUGUUGCUGAGUUUUUAUGAGACCGUCGAUACUUUUUCAUUUAUUGUCUUUGCUGCCCUUAAUUGGUGUCAAAAGUAGCAUUAAAAAAGUUUCGACAAGAUCACUUUGGAGAAAUUAGAGUGUUCAAAGCACUCAUUGCAUAAUUGCCUACAUGGUAGUACAUGGAAUGAUGAAAGAUGAUCUCUGCCUUGUUUAAUAAAUAAAUUCCUUAUGGCACCAAGCUAAAAUUCAAGGUAUGAGAUAAUGAUUAAAGGGAACUGCCGGGGGCGUUUGUAUUACAAUGCGAGAGGUGAAAUUCUUGGACCGUUGUAAGACAUACUAUCGCGAAAGCAUUCGUCAAGAAUGUUUUCAUUAAUCAAGAACGAAAGUUAGAGUUUAGAAGGAGAUCAGAUACCUCCCUAUUUCUAACCGUAAACUAUGUAAACCGGUUGUCCGUCGUUAAUUUUUUACGAUGGACGUGCAGCCCCGGGGAAACCAGAGUGAUAUUCCUGGGAAAGUCUAAUCGCAAGUUCGAAAUUUGAAGGAAUUGACGGAAAGGCACCACAAGGAAUGGAGCAUGCGGCUUAAUUUGACUCAACACGGGAAAACUUACCAGGCCCAGAAACAUUUAGGAUUGACAGAAUGAUAGCUCUUUCGUGAUUAUGUGGAUGGUGGUGCAUGGCCGUUCUUAGUUGGUGGAGUGAUCUGUCUGGUUAAUUCCGAUAACGAACGAGAUUCUUAUUUACUAAAUAGAAGGUAGAUCUUAUUCUCCUAGGUUUUGUGAAUGCCUGUCGGGGGUAGUCUAUCUAUCUUCUUAGAAAAAUCAAUGGUGCAAUAAUCAGUUGAAAGAGAGAGCAAUAACAGGUCUGUGAUGCCCUUAGAUGUUCUGGGCUGCACGCGCGCUACAAUGCACGGUGCAACGCGUCCCUCUCCUUUUUAACGGAGCGGGUAACCGGUUCAAAUCCGAGCUUACUUGGGAUUGGGGCUUGCAAAUAUUUCCCAUGAACGAGGAAUUCCUAGUAAGCGUUGACUCAUUUAAGUCGCGCUGAUUAAGUCCCUGCCUUUUGUACACACCGCCCGUCGCUACUACCGAUUGAAUGAUCCAGUGAGAACAAUGGACUGUCGCUCUAAAGGUUUGGCAUGACGGGAAGCUGUUCGAACUUGAU